UCGAGAAUAAUUCACAAUGGGGGAAACCCUGAUGGUGCAACGCCGCGUGGAGGAUGACGGUCUUCGGAUUGUAAACUCCUGUCAUCCGGGAGUAAGACCUGGCGGUGAAUAGCCGACAGGGUUGAUAGUACCGGAAGAGGAAGGGACGGCUAACUUCGUGCCAGCAGCCGCGGUAAUACGAAGGUCCCAAGCGUUGUUCGGAAUCACUGGGCGUAAAGGGUGCGUAGGCGGUGUGGUAAGUCAGAUGUGAAAUCCCGGGGCUCAACCCCGGAACUGCAUCCGAUACUGCCACACUAGAGGACUGGAGAGGUGACUGGAAUUCUCGGUGUAGCAGUGAAAUGCGUAGAGAUCGAGAGGAACACUCGUGGCGUAAGCGAGUCACUGGACAGUAUCUGACGCUGAGGCACGAAGGCUAGGGUAGCGAAAGGGAUUAGAUACCCCCGUAGUCC
rnacentral:rRNA from 1 species